UACGGAGGGCGCAAGCGUUACUCGGAAUCACUGGGCGUAAAGAGCGUGUAGGCGGAUAGAUAAGUCAGAAGUGAAAUCCUAUAGCUCAACUAUAGAACUGCUUUUGAAACUGUCUAUCUAGAAUAUGGGAGAGGUAGAUGGAAUUUCUGGUGUAGGGGUAAAAUCCGUAGAGAUCAGAAGGAAUACCGAUUGCGAAGGCGAUCUACUGGAACAUUAUUGACGCUGAGACGCGAAAGCGUGGGGAGCAAACAGG
rnacentral:rRNA from 1 species